rnacentral:misc_RNA from 1 species
UCUCCGUCGGUGAACCAGCGGAGGGAUCAUUACAGGACUCGCAAGACACCUACAACCCUGUGAACUUAACUAUAAGCACGUUGCUUCGGCGGGUGUCUCGGAGGAGGUACUCCCUCCCCGAGACGCUAAACCCGCCGGCAGCCUACUAUACUCUGUCUCUUUGCGUUGGCAUCUCGAGUACAAUCAAACAAGUUAAAACUUUCAACAACGGAUCUCUUGGUUCUG